AUCCUUGCAGCCCAGGAGCAAGCCAUCAGAACAAAUGCAAUUAAGGCCAAGAUUGAAAAAUCAGCUGAUGACCCAAAAUGCAGACUGUGCAAGGAAACCGACGAAACCAUUGAUCAUAUCCUCAGCUGCUGUACGAAAAUUGCACAGACAGACUACAAACAGAGGCACAACUAUGUGGCCCAAAUGAUUCAUUGGAACUUAUGCCUCAAGUACCACCUCCCAGCAGCAAAGAACUGGUGGGAUCACAAACCUGCAAAAGUAUUGGAAAAUGAACAUGCAAAGAUACUGUGGGACUUCCGAAUCCAGACUGACAAAGUUCUGGAACACAACACACCAGACAUCACAGUUGUGGAAAAGAACAAGGUUUGGAUCAUUGAUGUUUUUCGUCAAUGCGACUGUCACCUGGGAUGGCAACAUCAAUGAUCCAAACCUUUUUCUUUUCCACAACUGUGAUGUCUGGUGUGUUGUGUUCCAGAACUUUGUCAGUCUGGAUUCGGAAGUCCCACAGUAUCUUUGCGUGCUCAUUUUCCAAUACUUUUUCAGGUUUGUGAUCCCACCAGUUCUUUACUGCUAUUAUUAUUAUUAGUAGUAGUAGUAGUAGUACUAGUAAUAGUAAUAGUAGAAGAUGUAGUAGUAGUAGUGUAUCCCGCCUUUACCUCUUGACCAAGAUGCAAAUUCCAAAAUAGCAGUGUAGAAGGGACCACAGUUACCACAACAAGCGAAGAUGUAGAGAAGAUUCAUAGCUAUCUUUAAGGACUAUUCUCAGGCUGAGACUCUAAGGCUCGUUCCACACAGCUGAAUAAAAUCCCGCAUUAACUGCUUUGAACUGGAAUAUAUGGCACUGUGAAUUCAAGAUAACCCAGUUCAAAGCAGAUAUUUUGGGUUAUUCUGCCUUGAUAUUCUGAGGUAUAUGGUUGUAUGGAAGGGCCCUGGGACUGGUGUGUUUAUGGCCAUGUACUUCAUUUAGAGCUAUAAACAAUAGGGUUGCCAGAUUGCACACUUCUUUUAAUGUCACACACAAACAGGAUACAAUGCAACCUGAAAUUCCUGCUCCUACCCAACAGGCCAAGGCCUGGCAAUCCUACACCGCAUGCUCUUUAAAUGUGCUUGAGCUUAAUAACCCAGGUUUGACCCAGAGUAACCCAGAGGAAGGAAAGGUCACCUGAGGGCAAUGGCCACGGCUGCAGCCCAACAGCUAUAGCUCCCAGUCAAAGGGUGUUUCUUACACCAAUUGGCUUGCAACAAUUAUUACACUAUGGUUCUGGGUUAUAAAUGUCAUGUUCUAUCAUAAAACAUGGGAAAAGUUUAUUAAACUACAAAAACUUUGGGACAUCUUACAACGUAUUUUGUUAUAGAUUUUCAGUGACUCAUUCAACAUUAUUUGUGGCCACAAAAACAAAGUUUCUGGAGUAUAACAACUACUUUCAAAGUACGGACUCCACAAUUAAACAGGAAAUAGCACUUUCAAACCAGGAACAUAAUUUUUUUUCCAAAUUUUGUUACAUGGUGUUAUUAUUCCGCUACCAGUACCAGUACUAAGAUUUAUAUGUAAAUACAUGUAGUAUUGAACAGUGCUAUCUUCAUGUUAUAUACCGUAUAUAUUCGAGUAUAAUCUGACCCGAAUAUAAGCCGAGGCACCUAAUUUUACCACAAAAACUGGGAAAACUUAUUGACUCGAGUAUAAGACGAGGGUGGGAAAUGCAGCAGCUACAGGUCAAUUUCAAAAAUAAAAAUAGAUAUUAAUAAAAUUGCAUUAUUUGAGGCAUCAAUAGGUUAAAUGUUUUUGAAUAUUUAUAUAAAACUGUAAUUUAAGAUAAUAAUAAGACUUUAAUAAGAUAAGACUGUCCAACUCUGAAUGCCUAUAUACUCAAGUAUAAGCCGACCUGAAUAGAAGCCGGCCAGGACCCUCACUCGAGUAUAAGCUGAGGGGAGCUUUUUCAGCCCUAAAAGGGGCUGAAAAACUAGGCUUAUACUCGAAUAUAUACAGUAUUUAUCCUAUGAUGGGUUGGAUGAGGGCUAACAACCUGAAACUCAAUCCAGACAAGACAGAGGUCCUCUUGGUUAGUUGUGGGAUUGAUUGGGGUCGCACUCACCCUGAAGACACAGGUCUGCAGUUUGGGGGUCCUCCUGGACUCAGCGCUGACGCUUGAAGCUCAGGUGUCAGUAGUGGCUGGGAGGGCCUUCGCACAAUUAAAACUUGUGCGCCAGCUGUGCCCAUACCUUGAAAAGUCUGAUUUAGCCAUGGUGAUCCAUGCCUUAGUUACAUCUCGUAUGGAUCAUUGCAAUGCACUCUACAUGGGGCUGCCUAUGAAGACGGUUUGGAAACUGCAAUUAGUGCAGAGAGCAGCAUCCAGGUUUCUAACAGGAGCUGACUACAGGGAGCACACCACUCCUCUGUUAAAGCAGCUCCACUGGCUGCCUGUGAGUUUCUGGGCCCAAUUCAAAGCACAGGUCAUUACCUAUAAAGCCCUUUACGGUUCAGGUCCAGCCUAUUUGCGUGACUGUGUCUCCCCCUAUGAACCUGUUCG
rnacentral:lncRNA from 1 species